rnacentral:lncRNA from 1 species
UGAUUUGAACUAUGGCACUUUGCUGAUUCUCAGCAUAAGCUAGUUAUUUUUCUCUGCUUUCCUUAUGAAUUCUUCCCCACCCCUCCACCGUUUCCCCCUCUGCUUGAAAGGUGAGCCACCAGCCUGCAGAGACAAAUCCAAGCCUGCAGGCGUGGCAUUCAUAGGAGCAGAGGAGAGGGCGUCCUGCACAUGGGUGGGCUCUGGGGCAGACUGCAAAGGCGAGAAGCAGCAGUGCAAACCCUGACCCUGCCGCCCAUCUGCCCUGUGACUCCAGGCAGUUUGCCUCACUUGCCUGAACUUGAGAUUGUCUUACAAAGAUGGAAAAGGAAACAUAUGCUUUUAGGUUGGGUAACUAAAGCGAUGAUAGACCAAUGCUGCUAAUAGUAAUUAUUAUCUAACAGUCCUUAAAAGCUCAUUUUGUGCCACAUGCUUACCCAUAUGAUCUGUCAUCCUUACAACAGUCAUUCGAAGUACUUUUAGCUCAAUUUUAUUUUUUAAUUUUUAUUUUUUUCUCUUAAAGCUGUACCUGUGGCAUAUGAAAGUCCCCAGGCUAGGGGUAGAAUUGGAGCCAUAGCUGCUGGCCUACGACAUAGCCACAGCAAUGCCAGAUCCAGGCUGCAUCUGUGACCUGUGCUGCAGCUUGUGGCAAUGCUGGAUCCUUAACCCACUGAGCAAAGCCAGGGAUGGAACCCACAUCCUCACAGACAUUAUGUUGGGUUCUUAACUCGCUGAGCCACAACAGGAACUACCUUUUAGCUCAUUGUUGUAAGUACCCCUCUGUCUUCAUAUCUACAUAUCCUUUUGGGGCUACCACAGGGGGCUCCACCAGGAUCCAGAACACCCCAACUUCCUGCAGUGGACUGUAUCUCCUGCCCGUCCCAUCCCUGGAGAGCUGCCGUUCGAGAGUAUUGUGGUAGCACCUUCUGCCUUUGGAGACCCUAUUGUUCCUCAGGAUCAAGGCAGAGUCCUAGCCAAACUUUGAUUUUGUCAAAGAUCUUAGCUCUGGUGCCCAAUCCAAAGUGCUGCUUCAAAAGUUCUCUUUUGAGUUAAACUGGCACCAUCUUGUCUCUGCAUUCGGAUUUUUUCUUUCUUAUCUCGGGUGUCAAGAAUUUUUCCCUCUGUUUGUUCCAGGACCACCUGGACAUUUAUUUUUGUUGUGCACUGCAGUCUUUUUCUUUUUCUUUUUUCACAUUGUGCAUGUUUUUUCAGUUGACAACCGGAACCAGUUGAUCAUGCUGCUCAUCCACUGCUUAUGUGCUUUUUACACGUUAUGGUUUGUUUUGGAUUUUGGAAAACUCAUUAUCCAAGCAAAGAAGAGCAACAGGGGAUAAAGAGAAUAGUACGGUUAAAAGGGCUUCUGGAUCUCUAAUCUUCUUCCAUCUUUACAGUCUUUCGGGCUUUGGCUUUCUUAUAAAGAUGAGGCUCCAUCUAGGUGGCUGUCUUGGUAUCAUGGUCAGUGAAGCAAAUCAUGCCCAUGUCAGUGUAGGCCCUUUCCCAGUUUUUGGACCAUGGUUCCAGAUUCUUAUUUCUUCAUAAAAUUUCUAAAAUCCAUGGAAUGUUUGGUUGCAACUCAAAACAGUUUUCAUCCAAUCAGAUGACCUGGAAUGCCUCUCUCUUUUCUUCCUCAUUUCCUCUGCCAUUAACAGCUUCCUUGCCUUCGUCUUCUUCCUCUUCAGGAAAAGAGCUGUCCCUCUUUCCAUCUUGCUGACAGAUGUAGUUCGUUUUCUCUGGGAUUCUGUGUCAAACUCAUUAUUAAAGAGGACCUGGUCAAACAGAUGUGGUUGGAAAGGGGUGGGUUCCACUGGAGGGUUGAGAGUUCCAUAGAAGUUUCCAACGUCCUUUCCACUUUCUAAUAAUGCUCCAUUCUCUUAGUGCUUUGCGCUGUUCAAUAGUAGAGUCCAGCCCUGGUGCUUCCCCAUCCCUGGGGACCCUUGUAGUUUGUGGAAUGGUUCUCAAAAAGAGAUUAUCUCUGAUCACUUGCUGCAAUUUGGGGUCAAUUGCUUCCCUUGGAGGGUCUCCUAGGGGAAGGGGGUGCAGCUGUGGCCCACCCUGGGGACACAGCCACGGUGGUGGCCAUAUCAGGGAGUAAUCAUCAGCAUGAACUCUUACUGGAGGCGGACAUCCUGCAUGGGCCAUCAGCACCUGCACACUGCAAUCUUGAAAACCAUUUAGGAAGCCUUGCUUUCUCAAAGGGGUACCGAAUGUGCAACUGUAGAAAACAUGAAUAAGAAAUAAAUCAAAGUUUGAUGCUCUCCAGAUGAACUUGAUUUGGGGUGAUAACUAUGUUUGUACUAGUUAGAAGUGAAAAUAACAGAGUCGCUAGUUGACUACUUACAAGAUUGUUUCUUAAGGAAUGGGUAAGAUAUGGUAAUUGGCUUCUCUAUUUUAAUUAUUUUCCAAUGCAACACAUACAGUUCUGCUCCAGGACCAUGAGAAAUAUGCCAACUUACUUGUAAUUUACUCUACUUUCCUUGAAAAUAGUGCUUUGUUUCUUAUAGAGCUUUCAGAAAUCCUUACCAAUGCUUUUGAUAGAUAUCUGUGCAGAGUACUUGGCAAAGAGAAAAUGCAUCACAUAUCUGCCAGAAUAACCAAAAAGGAGAUAUUUAUAACGAGGUGACAAAUGAAAACUAUUUCCACAGAGAACCUGGGGUACAAAUUUUACUGUUGAAACGAUUUCUAAAAAAGUUAUUAGAGACAUCUGAAUUAGCCAUAAUAAAAGCUAGCUGAAAGUCAAAAUUAGCCUGAAGUAGGAAUAUCAGUUUGGUUCAGUUGUGUGACAGAAACAAGUCAGACUUCCUUAUGGAGCUUUAGGAAAAGCCACUUUUUAAAAUUUACAUCUGUAUUUUUCCCCAUGUGUCUUGUGAGGACAGAGAGAAGCGGAUGGGGGCAGAGACAGGACCAGUGAGGAUGAGGGCAGUACUUUGUCAGCAUUGAUACAAGAGGCCAUAGAAUGAAUUUUGAAAAAGUUUUUGUGUACCG